rnacentral:rRNA from 1 species
UACAGAGGUCUCAAGCGUUGUCCGGAAUCAUUGGGCGUAAAGCGCGUGUAGGCGGCCCGGUAAGUCCGCUGUGAAAGUCCAGGGCUCAACCCUGGGAUGCCGGUGGAUACUGUCGGGCUCGAGUCCGGAAGAGGAGUGUGGAAUUCCUGGUGUAGCGGUGAAAUGCGCAGAUAUCAGGAGGAACACCAAUGGCGAAGGCAGCACUCUGGGACGUGACUGACGCUGAGACGCGAAAGCGUGGGGAGCAAACAGG